GCCCUGGUGAACAUACCUAUAACGUUGCCUCGGCGGGAACAGACGGCCCCGUAACACGGGCCGCCCCCGCCAGAGGACCCCCUAACUCUGUUUCUAUAAUGUUUCUUCUGAGUAAACAAGCAAAUAAAUUAAAACUUUCAACAACGGAUCUCUUGGCUCUGGCAUCGAUGAAGAACGCAGCGAAAUGCGAUAAGUAAUGUGAAUUGCAGAAUUCAGUGAAUCAUCGAAUCUUUGAACGCACAUUGCGCCCGCCAGUAUUCUGGCGGGCAUGCCUGUUCGAGCGUCAUUACAACCCUCAGGCCCCCGGGCCUGGCGUUGGGGAUCGGCGGAAGCCCCCUGCGGGCACAACGCCGUCCCCCAAAUACAGUGGCGGUCCCGCCGCAGCUUCCAUUGCGUAGUAGCUAACACCUCGCAACUGGAGAGCGGCGCGGCCACGCCGUAAAACACCCAACUUCUGAAUGUUGACCUGAAAUCAGGUAUGAAUACCCGCUGAACUUUAGCAUAGCACGAACUAAACGACAAAACA
rnacentral:rRNA from 1 species